GACGAACGCUGGCGGCGUGCCUAAUACAUGCAAGUCGAGCGAAGUUUUUCUGGUGCUUGCACUAGAAAAACUUAGCGGCGAACGGGUGAGUAACACGUAAAGAACCUGCCUCAUAGACUGGGACCACUAUUGGAAACGAUAGCUAAUACCGGAUAACAGUAUUUCUCGCAUGAGAGAUAUUUAAAAGUUGGUUAUGCUAACACUAUGAGAUGGCUUUGCGGUGCAUUAGCUAGUUGGUGGGGUAAAGGCCCACCAAGGCGACGAUGCAUAGCCGACCUGAGAGGGUGAUCGGCCACACUGGGACUGAGACACGGCCCAGACUCCUACGGGAGGCAGCAGUAGGGAAUCUUCCGCAAUGGGCGAAAGCCUGACGGAGCAACGCCGCGUGAGUGAAGAAGGAUUUCGGUUCGUAAAGCUCUGUUGUUAGGGAAGAAUGGAUAUGUAGUAACUAUACAUGUAAGAGACGGUACCUAACCAGAAAGCCACGGCUAACUACGUG
rnacentral:rRNA from 1 species